rnacentral:rRNA from 1 species
CCUACGGGAGGCAGCAGUGAGGAAUAUUGGUCAAUGGACGAGAGUCUGAACCAGCCAAGUAGCGUGAAGGAUGACUGCCCUAUGGGUUGUAAACUUCUUUUAUAUGGGAAUAAAAUGUUCCACGUGUGGGAUUUUGUAUGUACCUUAUGAAUAAGGAUCGGCUAACUCCGUGCCAGCAGCCGCGGUAAUACGGAGGAUCCGAGCGUUAUCCGGAUUUAUUGGGUUUAAAGGGAGCGUAGGUGGAUUGUUAAGUCAGUUGUGAAAGUUUGCGGCUCAACCGUAAAAUUGCAGUUGAAACUGGCAGUCUUGAGUACAGUAGAGGUAGGCGGAAUUCGUGGUGUAGCGGUGAAAUGCUUAGAUAUCACGAAGAACUCCGAUUGCGAAGGCAGUUCACUGGACUGCAACUGACACUGAGGCUCGAAAGUGUGGGUAUCAAACAGGAUUAGAUACCCUUGUAGUC